rnacentral:lncRNA from 1 species
GGAAAAUUGGUGGAAGAUAUGAUCACAUACGACCUGGACGAGCCAAGCUCUUACCACUUCUAUCUAGGUGGCUCCAACUUGAAAGAGGAGAACCAAGCUCAUAGGCUUCUUGAUAGACAACAUCGAGAAUUUUGUGUGGACACUAUAUGAAAUACCUAGGAUUGGCCCGAACUUCAUUAGGCACAAGCUCAAUGUCGAUUCGCAAGCUUGGCCCUUGAAGCAAAGAGGGGGCACGAAGUCCACAGUGGAACAUGUAGACAUCAUGAUUGAGGAGGUACACUGACCGAGGCCAUCACUAUCAAGAAAGUUGUUUAUCCGAAUUUGUUGUCAAAUACAGCCGUGGGUAGAACUGCAAAUACUGUUUGUUUGGAUUUUCAAACAAAAGUUUAAACCGAGCUUACCCGAAAGAUUGCUUCCCAUUGCAAAAAUGAUCAACUGGUGGAGUCAUCUCGGGCAUCACUCUGAUGAGCUUUCUAGAUCCUUUAGGAUCAAGAAGACUAGGGCAAUCUACAUCGCAUGAUCAGAAAAUGUUUAAAAAAAGCUCAUAUGGAGCAAAAUGAAGCGUAUAUUGAUAUAUGGUUAGUUAAAAAAGCAAAGCGAAGCCUAGCCACUGAAGACUUGGCCGAGGUGUUUGUGGAUACUGUAAACCUACCUACAAGACUCAAAGUUGCAAAUAUGUUGUUUUGGAGUGAGUUUUGGGUAAAAUUCUUCUGACACUUCCGUGCCCUAGGAUAGCAAUUGCAGGCAAACCCAAACCAAAUUAUGCCGAUCCGAGAUUUUGGAAAGUCCACAAACUGCGAAUGAAGUCCAAAAGUUGACCGGAAGGCAGUGACAAACUAAUCGAUUUGUCAGCAGCAAGUCAUGAUAUAAGUUACUGGCCAUUUCCAGUUACUUCACAAAACUCCAACAAGAUGAGAGAAAGCAAUGCAAGAGUUCAAGUUUACCUAGUCUCUUUUGUAUCCACGCCAGAGGAGGGAGAGCUCAUCUGCUUUCGCCAUUUUCGAGCAUGCUUUAGCUCGAUCCUUUUAAGGGAGUAGAAGGGAGAAACUCCCGAUCUUAUCUUUGUUUUAGCAAAACUUUUUGGAUUGCUUAACAAGGUGAGGGAAAAACUUGCCCUACCUUUGGUGAUGACUCUAAAAGCUGCUUGCAAUACUUCCCAUCCCAUUCGAUCGUUUGUAUUUAUUGAGUUCCCCCGCAAACCCCUGCGUAGUUUCAGAAGACUGUCAAAAUGUGUGUGCCACUGAGUGCUCGGCUUGAGUCGUGUAUGAUAUCAAUUCUACCUUGGCAAGCUAUCAAGGCCAAAGUGUUAGCUAACUUUUGUGAGCCAAGUUCUCACCUCAAACUAGCCGGGUUGUUCCUAAAUUUUGCACACAUGGGAGGAUAGCUCAAUACGAGUCCGUAAUGAGCUCGGCAGAAACAUUUAAGAAUAUUGAGAUAAAAUUGCGUGGAAAAUUUUCCAUGGAUAGCACUUUCAAUAGUCGAGGUUUGGGCAAAUGUUCUAUUGAUUGGCCAGGCCCAUAGUAUGCAUUUUGACCACGACAAUAAGCCGAAUACAAAGCCAAUUCAUUAUUACCAAAUUUGAAUAACCGCAGAACUACAGAUUCCCAACGCACCAUAUUUCAAUGACUCCAAACUAGUUGGAAUGAGGCUAAGACAGAAAAUAACCAAACAAAUUAAUUAAAAGUGGGGCCAAAGCUGUUGAGAAACUUCAAAGCAGUGAAACUUAAACAAAUGGGAAAGGACUGAAGAUUUCUCACGCCGAUGGCUCUGGCCAGUCUAGCCUUGCAUUCGAUAGAGAGAUCGGGCGAGUAAUUGUUGUCGACUUUGUUUCGAUUCAAAAUGCUAUGAGCGAUUAAAAGGAGAGUAUCCCUGUGCAACCCCAACUUCAGACCGAAUGUAAUCCUGUUUGUGGAUUUUUUGAAACCACAGAUGCCCAAAGCAAGAAGGAAGCCACAACUCAGCUAAAGUCGGCCCCGAUUAGGAUUUCCCCCACAGGAAUCUUUUUCCCUCAUAAGGAAUCUUACAAGAAGUCAUACUCGAGGACAUAAUGGUUGUUGUGUGCACCCGAGCAUUGUGGAUAACCUAUUGUUCGUAUUCAGGAAGGGAUGUGUGGUUUGCACCCAAGAGGAUCGCUAACGCACCAAGCUAUAACUCCAGGCCUACUUGCGUGGCCCUACAUGCAAGAAGAUGCGGCAGCAAGUAACGCAUAGAGUGUGUGAAGUGGUCACUAUUCUCCCCUGAUCCACCAUCCAAAUUGGGAACAUCGGCGCAAGAAGCGUUGGCUCUGAGCUAUUACUUCAACAAAAAUAAAUCCUCUCUAGGUGUCUCUACAUUAUUUACUUAAUGAAGCACAAACAUCGAUAGGUUCUGGCCAUUGUCAUAUUACCUUGACAAAACAGAAAUUAUCACGACAUCCGCACAUUUAUGGAACUCAGCCAAAGUGUCUGACAUGAACGACACACACGUGGUCACUAACAGUCCAAGAUUGUAGGUUAAAUUA